GGAAGCACCAGCCGAUCGGAGACGGCAGCGCCCUGGAAAGGCGCCGGUCCUAACAGGCCUUGUGGGUUCGACUCCCACUGUUUCCG
rnacentral:tRNA from 1 species